rnacentral:rRNA from 1 species
UUGGAGGGCAAGUCUGGUGCCAGCGGCCGCGGUAAUUCCAGCUCCAAUAGCGUAUAUUAAAGUUGUUGCAGUUAAAAAGCUCGUAGUUGAAUUUCGGGGUUAGUAGGUUGGUCAUGCCACUGGUAUGUACUGGUCUCACUGAUUCCUCCUUCCUGAUGAGCCGUAAUGCCAUUAAUUUGGUGUUGCGAGGAAUCUGGACUGUUACUUUGAAAAAAUUAGAGUGUUUAAAGCAGGCUAACGCUUGAAUACAUUAGCAUGGAAUAAUGAAAUAGGACGUUCGAUCUUAUUUUGUUGGUUUCUAGGAUUGACGUAAUGAUUAAUAGGGAUAGUUGGGGGCAUUAGUAUUCAAUUGUCAGAGGUGAAAUUCUUGGAUUUAUUGAAGACUAACUACUGCGAAAGCAUUUGCCAAGGAUGUUUUCAUUAAUCAAGAACGAAAGUUAGGGGAUCGAAGACGAUCAGAUACCGUCGUAGUCUUAACCAUAAACUAUGCCGACUAGGAAUCGGAUGAUGUUAAUUUUUUAAUGACUCAUUCGGCGCCUUACGGGAAACCAAAGUGUUUGGGUUC